rnacentral:rRNA from 1 species
UCUCAUUCUCAUUGCGAGAAGAGGCGCACCU